CGCGGAUGUAGAGACAGAAGAUGACUGCGAAUGGGAGAUGUCUCACACAAAACUCGGCUGAUAAAACGUUGAAGUUAAUUGCGAGGCUAACGUUUAUAACCGUUGGAAUGCGGCGGUGGGUUACGUUGUGUCAGUUUUGUAAUCCAGACCAACAAACUAGUGCCAAACCGUUGUGUGAUCGGGCAAUUGGCUGGUUAACAGCGGCAGCUCUGGCGGGCCAAUCAGAGCGCAGCAGCAGAGGAGCAGUCUGCUAUUAGAGGCACGGCUCAGGAGUCCUUCAACAGAGAGCAGAGAGAGGGGGCCGAGCGCUAUCGGCAGCCAUUUUCCUAAAACGACUCAAUGGCCUAUAUGGGUUUCCUUUGUUCCAAAAGGGAUCUUACACUUGAUUUCCUCAUCUCUCACGGACUAUGAUAAAACUAUGAUACCUCCUUUUAAAGGAUUGAGAAGAAGGAAGAUUAUGUACUGGAUGUAAUACCCUGUGACAUCUUGAGCCUUUUUUCCUCUGCCUGGAAUCCAUCUUUGUCUUAACUAGGUCAUGGCACACCCAUAUAAUAGUAUUUAUAUUUCUUAUGUGAAAAGAAACCAAAUGUUUUGAAUAAACAGCUGUAUGAUAUUUGGAGAUGUUAAGUUAAUGGGAAACACAGUUAAAGUGACCAUGUGUCUGGCAAUGCACUAAUGGCCUUGUGAUAUGCUUAGCAAUAAGUAAGUUCAACUUUUUUUAUCAAAAUUUAAAAGAAGGCUAAUGUAAAAUGUGAGGCAUGCAUUUUCUGUUAUCAAAAGUGUUUCUUCAAUGUAUUAAUUGAGCUAUCAAUUUACUCACAGAAAUGUUGGCAUUUGUAUUAUACAACUUUAUUUAAUAUGUUCACUGGCAUGCUGACAUAUAGAUAAUACAGUCCAGCUUAUAUAGGCUACUGCUCCUCAGAUGACAGAGAGCAGGCCACGGAUAACUAAUGGCCUGUUAAUUAACAGUUUAUUGUGCUGCCUUCAAAUUUGACUGUUACGUUAUUUUAUUUGAUUAAUGACUUUAAACACUUUACUCUCACAACAGCAACGGUUAAAAACCCUGGUGUGUUGCACCCUUCCUUCAGCUGUGGAGACAACUUCAAGCUCGAUUAGGUUUGUGCUGUCCAAUUGCCAUUUAAGAAGCAAAUGCGUCCAAAGUGUAAUCGUCGGCUUGACCUUGCAUCAAGGGUGUAUUUAAAUGUCUUAACAAGCCCAGAAAGGUAGCGUCUUUUUUUUACUUUAAAAAACGCUUUAAAAAAAAAAAAAACUUAAGAGGAAACAGAUGGAGUGAAAACUCUUAUGGUGAAAAUAUUUACCUCAGCACUUUGGUGAAAUGCAGUUAACAGGCCUAAACGCAGGGACAGGAGGAACGUUUUCAGCUCCAUCUUCGGAUCCUCUAAUAAUGGCAUUAAUAAGGGGUGGGAUAGCGUCUCCUGAAAAGGAAGGAAUCCAUUAGCAACGAAAGAUAGAGGAGAGCUCUUUUGAAAACUUUUUGAUCAGUGCUAGGCAUUGCCUCUCGGCCAGCGAAAAUGCAUCUUCAAGCAUCAUCUGUGUGGGCAAUAUGCAAACCAUCUCCUCUCUCUCUCUCUCUCCUUGAAGACAGGAUUGCAGUCAAGUAUAACCUCUUCUAUUUCGACAUUUCUUACAGAGCUACAUCAUGUUUAACCACAAGGAAAUGUUGUUUUUGAAAGGUAAUGGAUUUUGAGCUAUUUCACUUAAUAUGACAGUUUGUAACAUGUCUAACUAAAUGUAGCCUAUGUCAUUAUAUAGGACAGACAACCUGCACAAUAGUUAACUGUGGUUACAACGUUUUCAGCAAAAAUAUAUUUUAUAUACUUUUGUAAAAAAAAGAACUGUAACCCAUAUUUGUUUGAUUAAUUGUAAACUUACAGUUAGAACUCAAAACAUGUAAUCCAAGGCUUAAACGAGCAAAGGAAUGUUAUGGGAGCGAAAUCUGCUAAAUAUAACUGCUUGCCUUUGUCCAAAAACACCUUUUUUGGUGGUAGCCUAUGCAGGCUACACUUGUUCAAUGGUUUCUCUGCUGUUCUCUUGUCUCAAAAUGGCUUCUUUACAGACAAAGGAGAGCGCUGUGCUGUUAAAUGUUGCUGCGCCAUAACUGGGAGAGGCUCGUAGGCUGUACUCAGAGGGAGUUUAGGUUUUUUUCUCGGUGAUGCAACAGGAAGUCUCACAACAUUGUAUAAAGUAGUGUUGUUGUUUUUUUACUAGUGUACUGUAUGUAUAAUAAGAAGUAAAAUAGACUUAAUGGAAGGAAACGUAAUACAAGUGGCGUGAUCAGGCUGUGUGGUUGCCGGGCUGCCUCGCCCUGCCAGCCGCAUGUAAUCCGAGAGCUCUGGACGGUUGCCAUGGGAGCUCGAGCGAGUUGCUGCUCCCCCACACUGCCAUAUAAGGUCAUCAGGAAUCCUCUGCAGCAGUGGAAUAACACGGGGGAGGAGGCUUCCGUACGUGCACUAUGGCUUCAGACAAAGACCGGAGGAUAACGGGCGUUUCAGUGCUACAGAGCAGGACAAACUAACAAACAAAAAAAGCGAUUUUUAUCGUUUAAUCGGCAGAGGAGUUCAACUUAGAAUUGAUGUAUUUAGCUGCGUCACUAAUGUGCCCUUUACGCACUCCAUUCUGGUGCGUGAGCGUGUUUUACGCACUCCCCUUUGGUGUGUCUUAUUUGCUUAUGAGAACACACACUAAUGUAGUACUAGUCGGUGUGUCGGAGGCCUGUUUUUCUUGUUAUCCACUCCUAGCUCGGGGCUGCCAAGUGCGCGCAUUUGCAGGUCACGAGGCUGCAGACAGCAUUCCUCUCUGUCCAACCCUGCUUUCUUUCUACACCCCACCCCCCAGUGCAAAUGGAGACAGAAUAGUGAAGAAGGUUUCAUGUUUGUGUGUAACAAAGGUGAACAUUUUGCGUUGAAAACAGCCAAUGAGGUUAUUUAUAGGCCUUUGUUUAAAAAAAAAAAAAAAAAAACCUCCCUGGUGGGUUGCGCCAUUCAGUUUUGCGCGCCGCUGACAGACUGGAAUAUUCCACACAGAGGAUUGGCCUCUCUUCUGCAGGACAGCUGUCUCUUUGCACGGCGAAAAAAACUACUUUUGACAAUUGAUCUUGGUUUAUUAAUUGAUGAAAAUGGGCUAUACACGUAUGGAUAUUUUACACACCUACAGGACAAUUUAAUACCUUUUUUUAUGUGAGUCAUGUACUGAAUAUCUUAGGCUGCCAGUUUCACCUUGUAAGUCAAACAAGCACUCUUUUUUUUAUCAUUAUUAUUAUUAUUCUACAGUCAUUUGUUAUAGAUUUGACUACACUUGACCGUGUUGUGGCAUAUAGGGCACAUGAGAACGGUUUUAUGUCUAAUCCUGUGGAGUCAGAAUAGCCUGGCAGACUCUUUCUGUCUUUCUUUGUAUGCCCAGCCUUUUAUGGGCUUCUGAUGGAUUGUUGACUGAAUCAAAUCAGGUAUCCUCCGUGCUUUGUGUAUUUUACACUGGCUUAUUCAAGGAUUUUUCAUUCGUGGUACUGUAUUUAAUUAUUUUCAAAUCAUUGUCUUUUCUUCUUUCCAGCUCUUAAUUAUUUGCAUGACUACUGUAUUAUUAGUGUAACCUUCUACAGCAUGCGUUGUAACUUUAAAUGACAAUAUAAUACUAUGUCUGUGAGAUUUUUGAAUAAAUAUAGUAUAACCACUUUUUAUGUUUUAUUGGUGUCAAAACUCAAGCAAGUUGCUGUUAUUUUUAUUAUGCAUAGCAAUUGUUUCCACUUAUUAGGAUUUAAGGCCCAUCUUACAAACAUCAUUUAAGUCAGUCAUGUUAAAUUAGAUACAUAUACUUCUCUAAUGGGCUACACAAAAAUCACCAACCAUACUGCAGGGUGUCUUAACUGUAGGAGCAAAUUCCCAAAUAUAAAGGUGGAAUUCCCUUUCUGGCCGUAAAUGUGUGUUUUCUGGGAAAAUACAUUCAAGAUGACAUGUCUUAUAUUAAUCAAAGUAAAUGGCAGUGUCAGCUCAUCCUCUUAAAGGGACAGCUUGCUAAAAUGUUACCCACUCUUCUCCACCAACUGCAUAUUUUCCCACUCGUGACCAAUGAAAUGUAACCUUUAGAAUUGACUUAAGAGCUUACCUCAGUUUGAGUUUUGAUCAUUAUUGUAUGUGAGAUACAAUUCUCUAUACCAGAUAGCCUACUGAAGAUUAAUUUUAAAUGCAACAUUAUUGUGUUUUCGAGUGUAGGCUAUUUCCCUAUGCUGUGCUUUAUCCUGACACUCUGUAUUUCUGUAAAAGCAAUCAUUGACUUUGCUGAAACAUUCCCAAACCUAAUGUUAAACUAUCUUUUGCAUACAUUGCCCAUGAAUACUCCCAUCAACCAGUUGUAUUUGGUGUCCAGUAGUAACUUAAAGGCAAAUUGACUGGAUGUAUUACAUUACAGCAUGUGUCGUUGCUCAUGAUCAUGAGGUACAUCACAUCUGGCUCAACCAUCUUUUAACCACUGAUAAGGUGUUCUUCCUGCCCUAAAGCAGCCCGUCUGCCUCACACACUCAUUUGAAAAAACAGGAUGUACAUGUUUCUCUUUACAGUAUUGUAACAUAUUGUACGUCUUAAUUGUAUCUCCGAACAAGUUACUUAAUUUUUCUAAUUUAAUUACUUUGAUGCUGGAUAAAGAUGUCCGCUCAUUGCACCCUGGGACGAGACAGAAUAGUAUAUCCUGACGCCCCAAUCUGUGAUGUCACUGCUAUAUUCAGCCAUUCAGACUGAACAGAGAAAUAUGACCGACAUAUUGCUUGUAAAUACCCCUGAGGACA